rnacentral:misc_RNA from 1 species
AGAUUGCAUUGCGUGGGUUGCAUGCCAAGUGUCUCUUGUUAACGACACAAACAAUAAGCGUAAAUAAUCCUAAUUACGCUCCUAACCACGCUAAAGCAGCGUAAGGAGCUGGAAGCUUGGCAAAUCGACUGGUGUUGGCUAGGCAUUCCAUCAUUUUUAGCCAGUUGCCUUUAAAAAGUGCCCGUUUUUAAAGUAAGCUUAGGGCUAGGGUUUUUCUUCAGUUCUUGAGGAGUUGGACUAGAAAGACCAGAAAAUCCAAAACUUCUCUAAGCAUGUAGAUGCCCACGGAUGGAUGUGGUUUU